AAUUGAAUUGACGUUUUGCAUAAAAUGUCUUGCAAACAGCGAUAUUGCAAGGGCAAUAUCUCGGGCUGUAUGAGUCCAAAUUAAGUUCCGUUUAUUGGUACGGAAACUUAAGGAUGUUAACUAUAAUUGUCUAAGUUUGAGUUUUUGUUGAAUCGGACUCUAGGAUGUUCAUUUUGGACAGAACAAAUUAUUGUGCAGUCUGCCCUGCACUUGUAAACAGCUCCCAGGAAAUAACUUAUGAGCUAGUUUUCGACACUUUCGGGUGCGUUUCAUGGUCCGAGACCUAAACGAAAGUUGAAGGCGACAUUCUAAACUUUAAGAAUGUCAAUUUUGUUUUGGGGUCGGACUAUUUUUAGAUAAGAGUUUUGUUAGCCGAAGUAGACUAGAAAAUUAGCUUUUUGAUAAAUUAAUUAUACUUAGAAAUUUUAUUAAUUCGUAGCGUUAUCGAAAUUGCGUAGACUCGAAGAAGCGACUAUCGAUAAGGCUCGAGGCGAAUGGAUCGAGAUAUCGUCGUGCUUAUUUAAAGAAUUUGGAUAGCAAGUGGGAUAGUAUGAUAUGAUUUGGAAAGUCAAGUUUCCGAAGUUUUAAUUCUCGGAAGUUAUUUGCACAAGAAGUGAAAGAAGGUUUUCAUUCUAGCGGUCCGCAGUAGUCUAGAUGUUUUUGUCUAGGUAUUUGUAUUGCGCAUUUUAACUCUGAUGCUUUUGUAAAAUGGGGUCACAUGUAUUUUAAUAUAUGAAAUAUGUUUUGAUU